ACGGGCCCAGCCGCUCCACGGCAAGCGGGAUCUUCCCGGACCGGGGCACGAACCCGUGUCCCCUGCAUCGGCAGGCGGACUCUCAACCACUGUGCCACCAGGGAAGCCCCAAAUCAUUUUUAUAUACAUAUUUAAACUGCAUAUUUAAAGGCAGAAAUCUUUUUAAAGGCAAAUGGAGUAUCUGCCCAUACCAAUUAGAAUUUUAAAAGUUUCUUUAAGAAAUAAGACUUAAACCCCCUUUAAGGAAUCCCCAGUUGACGAACUUACCAAUAUCAAUAUUCUCUCUUCCAAGAGACACUAAUGAUAAGAAGAGGAUUUCUCUGUAUAAACUCCUAUAAAACAAAUAUUUUUUUAAAAUUAAUGGUCAAAGAGCAUAAAAAUACCCUAUGAAGGUUUUUUAAAAUGGUGAUAGAACACAACACUGUAAAUCAACUAUACUUGAAAAAAAAAGAUUAGGUUCUUUAGUUAACAGUAAUGUAUCCACCAUCCAUGUCAGUGUUCUGGUUUUGACAUUACACUACACUUAUGUCACCUUUGGGAGAAGCUGGGUAAAGGGUCAACGGAACUCUUUGUACUAUCUUUGCAAUUUCCUGCAAACUUAUGUUUUAAAUUAAAAAGUUAAAAGUUAAUGGGCAUAAAGCUUCACAUUCGAAAUAACUAAAAAUAGCUUAUUUUAACUUUAUUGUAAUUAUUUAGCAAUAUAAUAGGUAACUUUUAAUUCUAAUUUCUAAUUCAGAUCUACAAAAGCAGACUUUUGCCCCAUGACACAGUAAGAGACUAAGUAAGUUAGGGGUCUAAAACCCUUGGACACAAACAGUAUGAAAGAUGGUGUGGUCUCUACUACUUAACCCAACAGUAAAGGAUAAAUCACCUUUAUUUGAUUUGCGAACAUAAACAUGUUACAAAUGAAACCUUAAAAAUGAGACUCGUGACUCAUUUGUUAACAAAAGGGGAAACUGAUGAACUGAUUUGAGUAUUUACAGAAAAAAAAAUUAGAGAGUAAUGCUGAUUCUGAUGAUGCUCCAUGCAGCUUUCUUUAGAAGCUCCAGAAGCCAUAGUAUGUCAUUUCUAAUAUUCCUUCCCUGUCCUGCAACUACAGAUACUUGAAAGUGGCUGCUCUUUAGGCUGUGAAGGAGAUAAUCUCUACCUCAACUGUUGAGAUUAUAGAAGGAUCUAUCCAUUUUCAUUAUGAAUUCUUGUCCUAUCAUUUCUGAGACUGUCUUCAAAGAUGCCAUGACUAGAAACUUGAAGAGCACCUGGAAACACUGUUUAUGUUUGAUAGAAGAUAGGAGAGGCCUGUCCCUUUGCCCUUUUCCUGAACUUAGGGCUUCCUGAUUGAGGCUGCAAUGUGAUAUCUUGUAUGCCAGCAGCCAUCCUGUGACCAUGAAUCUUUCCUGAUGGAAAAGCAGACAAAGCGUAAGGAGCCGGGGUCCCCGAUGACAGAGGAGUUGCCUAACAGUCCUGGAGUAUCUAAUUCAUAAAUUCUUCAUGGACUGAAUGACAACUUGGUAACUGGCACAGCAGCCACAAGAAAGGUUAACCUCCAUCAAAACAAAUUUUAAGGAGAAAUCUGCUUCAAUUGGAGUCAUCUCAAUCGCUGAACCUUCCUGAGUUUUUCGAUGAACUGACAAAUGAAGAAGAGAAAAUGGCAUUAAUACAUAAUGUUAUAUAUAUAAUAAUUCGACAAGGGAAUUGUCAAAAUA